rnacentral:rRNA from 1 species
UCAGGAUGAACGCUGGCGGCGUGCCUAACACAUGCAAGUCGAGCGAUUACUUCGGUAAAGAGCGGCGGACGGGUGAGUAACGCGUGGGUAACCUGCCUCAUACACAUGGAUAACAUACCGAAAGGUAUGCUAAUACAGGAUAAUAUAAGAGAUUCACAUGGAUUUCUUAUCAAAGCUCCGGCGGUAUGGGAUGGACCCGCGUCUGAUUAGCUAGUUGGUAAGGUAAUGGCUUACCAAGGCGACGAUCAGUAGCCGACCUGAGAGGGUGAUCGGCCACAUUGGAACUGAGACACGGUCCAAACUCCUACGGGAGGCAGCAGUGGGGAAUAUUGCACAAUGGGCGAAAGCCUGAUGCAGCAACGCCGCGUGAGUGAUGAAGGCCUUCGGGUCGUAAAACUCUGUCCUCAAGGAAGAUAAUGACGGUACUUGAGGAGGAAGCCCCGGCUAACUACGUGCCAGCCGCCGC